CCUACGGGGGGCAGCAGUGGGGAAUAUUGGACAAUGGGCGAAAGCCUGAUCCAGCCAUGCCGCGUGUGUGAAGAAGGCCUUCGGGUUGUAAAGCACUUUCAGUGGGGAAGAAAGCCUUGGGGCUAAUACCCUCGAGGAAGGACAUCACCCACAGAAGAAGCACCGGCUAACUCCGUGCCAGCAGCCGCGGUAAUACGGAGGGUGCGAGCGUUAAUCGGAAUUACUGGGCGUAAAGCGCGCGUAGGCGGUCUGAUAAGCCAGUUGUGAAAGCCCCGGGCUCAACCUGGGAACGGCAUCCGGAACUGUCAGGCUAGAGUGCAGGAGAGGAAGGUAGAAUUCCCGGUGUAGCGGUGAAAUGCGUAGAGAUCGGGAGGAAUACCAGUGGCGAAGGCGGCCUUCUGGACUGACACUGACGCUGAGGUGCGAAAGCGUGGGUAGCAAACAGGAUUAAAUACCCGAGUAGUC
rnacentral:rRNA from 1 species